GUCGUGAGAUGUUGGGUUAAGUCCCGCAACGAGCGCAACCCCUAUCCGAUGUUGCCACUGGGUAAUGCCAAGCACUCUUCGGAGACUGCCGGUGCCAAACCGGAGGAAGGUGGGGAUGACGUCAAGUCAGCAUGCCCCUUACGUCUUGGGCUGCACACGUGCUACAAUGGCCGGUACAAACGGUUCCGAACCCGCGAGGGUGGGGUAAUCCGAGAAAACCGGUCUCAGUUCGGAUCGCAGUCUGCAACUCGACUGCGUGAAGUCGGAGUCGCUAGUAAUCGCAGAUCAGCAUUGCUGCGGUGAAUACGUUCCCGGGCCUUGUACACACCGCCCGUCACACCACGAAAGUCGGCAACACCCGAAGCCGGUGGCCCAACCCUUUUGGGAGGGAGCCGUCGAAGGUGGGGUUGGCGAUUGGGGUGAAGUCGUAACAAGGUAGCCGUACCGGAAGGUGCGGCUGGAUCACCUCCUUUCUAAGGAGUCAACUGCCCGGCGCCGAGCCGAAUGAGCUCGGAGUCCGCCGGGGACUCCCACGUCGAUCACCGACUAUUCGCCACGCUGUGGUCAUGUGUCCGACCCCGUCGGGCCUGCUCGUACUCGGAGCGGGACCCGCCGGCACCACCGGGCCCCACGGUGUUGCGGUCAUUCACUGUUCCGUUUUGAGGGAGUCGCAUCUCGUCGGGCCCAUCGGGGCCCGACUUGCGCGCUCACUCCGACCCGCUCCGCGAGCGCUGUUCAGCGCGCGCGGAUGGUCACGUGGCGACCUCGUCGCCACACUGGUCCCUUGAGAACUGCAUAGCGAGCACGAGCAUCAGAGAAACAAGUCGUGUUUGAAAUUUGGAAACACCAACGAAUAUCCCAAGCUACGAAGAGCCAACGGUGGAUGCCUUGGCGCCAGAUGCCGAUGAAGGACGUGGGUGGCUGCGAAAAGCCAUGGGGAGCUGUCGACCAAGCUUUGAUCCAUGGAUGU
rnacentral:sRNA from 1 species